rnacentral:rRNA from 1 species
GACGAACGCUGGCGGCGUGCUUAACACAUGCAAGUCGAACGAAGUCGCGAACGGGUGAGUAACGCGUAAUCAACCUGCCCUUCAGAGGGGGACAACAGUUGGAAACGACUGCUAAUACCGCAUACUGAAGCAGGGGAGUGCGUCUGAUUAGCUCGUGGGAGGGGUAACGGCCCACCAAGGCGAAGAUGAGUAGCCUGUCUGAGAGGGUGAACGGCCACAUUGGGACUGAGACACGGCCCAGACUCCUACGGGAGGCAGCAGGGGGGAAUCUUCCGAAAUGGACGAAAGUCUGACGGAGCAACGCCGCGGGAGUGAUGACGGCCUUCGGGUUGUAAAGCUCUGUUAAUCGGGACGCGGUACCGGAAUAGAAAGCCACGGCUAACUACGUGCCAGCAGCCGCGGUAAUAC